GACGAACGCUGGCGGCGUGCUUAACACAUGCAAGUCGAACGGUAAGGCCCUUCGGGGUACACGAGUGGCGAACGGGUGAGUAACACGUGGGUGAUCUGCCCUGCACUUCGGGAUAAGCCUGGGAAACUGGGUCUAAUACCGGAUAGGACCCUGGGAUGCAUGUCCUGGGGUGGAAAGCUUUUGCGGUGUGGGAUGGGCCCGCGGCCUAUCAGCUUGUUGGUGGGGUGAUGGCCUACCAAGGCGACGACGGGUAGCCGGCCUGAGAGGGUGACCGGCAACACCGGGACGGAGAGACGGCCCAGACUCCUACGGGAGGCAGCAGUGGGGAAUAUGGCACAAUGGGCGCAAGCCGGAUGCAGCGACGCCGCGUGAGGGAUGACGGCCUUCGGGUUGUAAACCUCUUUCAGCACCGACGAAGCGCAAGUGACGGUAGGUGCAGAAGAAGGACCGGCCAACUACGCGCCAGCAGCCGCCGUAA
rnacentral:rRNA from 1 species